UACGGUGAAUACGUUCCCGGACCUUGCACACACCGCCCGUCAAGCCAUGGAAGCUGGGUGUACCUAAAGUCGGUAACCGCAAGGGCCGCCUAGGUAAAACUAGUAACUGGGGCU
rnacentral:rRNA from 1 species